UACGGAGGGGGCUAGCGUUGUUCGGAAUUACUGGGCGUAAAGCGCACGUAGGCGGAUCAGUCAGUCAGGGGUGAAAUCCCGAGGCUCAACCUCGGAACUGCCUUUGAUACUGGGUGUCUUGAGUCCGGGAGAGGUGAGUGGAACUGCGAGUGUAGAGGUGAAAUUCGUAGAUAUUCGCAAGAACACCAGUGGCGAAGGCGGCUCACUGGCCCGGAACUGACGCUGAGGUGCGAAAGCGUGGGGAGCAAACAGG
rnacentral:rRNA from 1 species